rnacentral:rRNA from 1 species
UGGAUAACCUGCCCUCGGCACCGGGAUAGCCCGAGGAAACUCGGAUUAAUACCGGAUAGCCUUUCCGACUUUCGGGUCGGUUCGAAAAGGUAGCUUCGGCCUCUGGCCGAGGAUGGGUCCGCGGCGGAUUAGCUUGUUGGUGGGGUAAUGGCCUACCAAGGCAUCGAUCCGUAGCUGGUCUGAGAGGACGAUCAGCCACACUGGGACUGAGACACGGCCCAGACUCCUACGGGAGCAG